UGCCACCUUGUAUCAGGAAUUGGUAUGGU
rnacentral:sRNA from 1 species